GUUUAAAUUGUAAUUUACUUUCAGGUCCAAAAGCAGCAUUGACUGCAGACGAAAUGGCUGAUUUUUACAAGGAAUUUUUGAGCAAAAAUUUUCGGAAGCACAUGUAUUAUAACAGAGACUGGUACAGGCGCAAUUUCACCAUCACCUACUUCAUGGGGAAGGUGGCCUUGGAGAGGAUUUGGAGCAAGCUGACACAGAAGCAAGCGAAGAGGAGCGGCUAGCACUCCCCUCCGGCCUGCAGCCUCCCGCUGGCCAGGCCACGCUGAGGGGCCUGGCAAAUGCUGCAGUGACCACAGCCCCAUGAUUUUGUCUGUGGCUCCGCGUGGCGUAUUGUCAGGAAUGUUGUCAAUAAAGCUCUGAGCGCUG